GAUCAAGUGACCAAAUGUACGCGGUGGAUGCCUUGGCGAUUGAAGGCGAUGAAGGACGUAGUAGUCUGCGAUAAGCCUCGGGGAGCUGACAACAAGCUUUAAUCCGAGGAUUUCCGAAUGGGGAAACCCGCCCGCUUUGUGCGGGCAUCAUACAUUGAAUUCAUAGGUGUAUGAAGCGAACCCGGUGAACUGAAACAUCUAAGUAACCGGAGGAAAAGAAAUCAACCGAGAUUCCCAAAGUAGUGGCGAACGAAAUGGGAACAGUCCGUGUCCACAUCAAGUCGAAAGUUUUAGCAAAACCGUUUGGAAAAACGGGUCAUAGAAGGUGAUAGCCCUGUAUGCGAAGAAACAAUCGACGGGUGGACGAAGAGUAGGGCGGGACACGUGUUAUCCUGUCUGAACAUGGGGGGCCCAUCCUCCAAGACUAAAUACUAACAAUCGACCGAUAGUGAACAAGUACCGUGAGGGAAAGGUGAAAAGCACCCCGGGAGGGGAGUGAAAUAGACCUGAAACGGCGUACAUACAAACAGUGGGAGCACCCUUGUGGUGUGACCGCGUACCUUUUGCAUAAUGGGUCAGCGAGUUGCGCUCGGCGGCAAGGUUAACCGAAUAGGGGAGCCGCAGAGAAAUCGAGUCUUAAUAGGGCGACAUAGUCGUCGGGCGCAGACCCGAAACCAGGUGAUCUAUCCAUGGCCAGGUUGAAGGUUCGGUAAUACGAACUGGAGGACCGAACCCACUGAUGUUGCAAAAUCAGGGGAUGAGCUGUGGAUAGGGGUGAAAGGCCAAUCAAACCUGGAGAUAGCUGGUUCUCUCCGAAAACUAUUUAGGUAGUGCCUCAUGUAUAUCACUGUUGGGGGUAGAGCACUGUUUUGGCUAGGGGGUCAUCUCGACUUACCAAACCAAGGCAAACUCCGAAUACCAAUAAGUGCAAGCAUGGGAGUCAGUCGCCGGGUGCGAACGUCCGGUGGCAAAAGGGAAACAACCCAGAUCGCCGUCUAAGGCCCCCAAGAUAUAACUAAGUGGGAAACGAAGUGGGGGGGCAUACACAGCCAGGAUGUUGGCUUAGAAGCAGCCAUCAUUUAAAGAAAGCGUAAUAGCUCACUGGUCUAGUCCCCCUGCGCGGAAGAUGUAACGGGGCUCAAGUUAUACGCCGAAGACGCGAGUGUCAGAAGAUUGAGUAAAGUAAAUUGAAGUGACAAGCGUUUACCCGCGCUCUGUCUAUUUUGUCCGGAUCAUAUAUAGAUGUUUUUAAAAUAUCUUUGUGGUUACAUUUUUUUGACAAAAGAUAAAUUUAUUUUAUUCAAUCUUUUGACGCGGUAGGAGAGCGUUCCGUAAGCCGUUGAAGGCAGUUUGAAAGGGCUGCUGGAGGUAUCGGAAGUGAGAAUGCUGACAUAAGUAACGUUAAAACGGGUGAAAAACCCGUUCCCCGAAAACCCAAGGUUUCCUGUGCAAUGUUAAUCAUCGCAGGGUUAGUCGGUCCCUAAGGCGAGGCAGAAAUGCGUAGUCGAUGGGAAAUCGGUUAAUAUUCCGAUACUUUCGCACAAUGCGAUGGGGUGACGGAGAGCGCUAGCUGGUCCGGGUGUUGGACAUCCCGGUUUAAGCUGGUAGCCGUUUGAUCUUUCUAGGUAAAUCCGGAAAGGGACGGUGAGAAGUGACGACGAUCCUCUUUAGGGAGGAGAAGCCAGUCAUGCGAGCUCCCAAGAAAAACCUCUAAGCUUCAGUUGUGCGAGAACCGUACCGCAAACCGACACUGGUGGGUAAGAAGAAUAUUCUAAGGGGCUUGAGAGAACUCGGGUGAAGGAACUCGGCAAAAUGAUACCGUAACUUCGGGAGAAGGUAUGCCCUGAUAAUGUGAAACCCCUCGCGGGUGGAGCAGUAAAGGGUCGAAGAGAAUCGGUGGCUGCGACUGUUUAUUAAAAACAUAGCACUCUGCAAACACGCAAGUGGACGUAUAGGGUGUGACGCCUGCCCAAUGCCGGAAGGUUAAUUGAUGGGGUUAGCUGUCUUCGGAUAGCGAAGCUCCGGAUCGAAGCCCCGGUCAAUGGCGGCCGUAACUAUAACGGUCCUAAGGUAGCGAAAUUCCUUGUCGGGUAAGUUCCGACCUGCACGAAUGGCGUAACGAUGGCCACACUGUCUCCACCCGAGACUCAGUGAAAUUGAAAUGAGUGUGCUGAUGCACCCUACCCGCUGCUAGACGGAAAGACCCCGUGAACCUUUACUGCAGCUUUACAUUGAGCUUUGAACAGGUUUGUGUAGGAUAGGUGGGAGACUUUGAAGCGAGGGCGCUAGCCUUCGUGGAGUCAACCUUGAAAUACCACCCUGACUUGUUUGAAGUUCUAACUCAGCUCCGUUAUCCGGAGCGAGGACAAUGUAUGGCAGGCAGUUUGACUGGGGCGGUCUCCUCCUAAAGAGUAACGGAGGAGCGCAAAGGUACGCUUAGUGCGGUCGGAAAUCGCGCUGGACGUGCAAUGGCAAAAGCGUGCUUAACUGCGAGAGUGACGGCUCAAGCAGAUGCGAAAGCAGGUCAUAGUGAUCCGGUGGCGCUUCAUGGAAGGGCCAUCGCUCAACGGAUAAAAGGUACUCCGGGGAUAACAGGCUAAUACCGCCCAAGAGUCCAUAUCGACGGCGGUGUUUGGCACCUCGAUGUCGGCUCAUCACAUCCUGGGGCUGUAGCAGGUCCCAAGGGUAUGGCUGUUCGCCAUUUAAAGUGGUACGUGAGCUGGGUUUAGAACGUCGUGAGACAGUUCGGUCCCUAUCUGCAGUGGGCGUUGGAAGUUUGAGAGGAGCUGCUCCUAGUACGAGAGGACCGGAGUGGACGAACCUCUGGUGUUCCGGUUGUCGCGCCAGCGGCAUUGCCGGGUAGCUACGUUCGGAAAGGAUAACCGCUGAAAGCAUCUAAGCGGGAAGCCCCCCUCAAGAUUAGACUUCCCGAGGGCUUGACCCUCCUAAAGGACCCUUGAAGACGACAAGGUUGAUAGGCUGGAUGUGGAAGCGCGGUAACGUGUUAAGCUAACCAGUACUAAUUGUCCGUGAGGCUUGAUCUC
rnacentral:rRNA from 1 species